GCUUCUCCAGGUAAGUUAGGAUUCAACUAUUAAAAUGUAGAUAUUCUCCUUUUUAACUUACUUUGAAUAGGUAUGAAGAUCUCCAUCUUUUUGGAUCAAGCCAAAGCUGAGAAAACAAAGGGCAUUUCAGUAACUUCUCAUUUCCAGGAAGGUCGUCGGACGCAUUUUCAGGCCGCUACUCACCUAGAUCAUCGACUUUUCGUUAUUAUGAUGGGUAGAAUAUUUUUCUUCAAUAUCAAUGUAAGUUGAGAUUUCACAUUUUCUGUUGUUUGAUUUUUGGUACUCAAGAUCAAAUAAUUGUGAAACAGAUAAUCUGCUCAACUAUUCUGCUGUUUGAUAAGUGAUUUUAGGUGCCUUCUUGGCGAUUAUGUGUAAAAUUACUCUGGUGAUACUUGCGUUAUAUUUAUCUUCAGUAAUGGCAGAGAAAACAAACAAAUUUCUUGAUGCUAUUGCCUUAAAAGUACUUGUUUCAAAAAGGGUAAUAUGAUGGCCUAAUAUUGAUUAAGCUUCUCGAUGUCUAACGUAUUCAGUUUGACUUACGUCUCUCCUGCAAAUCCAAGAGGCACUAGACUAAAUAAUUACACGAACAAGCUUCAGAGUCAUUGUCGGUAGACUUUCAUACUCCAGAUGUGCUAAUAAUUUCCAGGUUUUCUUUCAUUUUACAUGUU